rnacentral:rRNA from 1 species
ACUCAAAUGAAUUGACGGGGGCCCGCACAAGCGGAGGAACAUGUGGUUUAAUUCGAUGGUACGCGAGGAACCUUACCUGGGCUUAAAUGUAGAGUGCAUUUCACCGAAAGGUGGAUUUUCUUCGGAACUCUCUGCAAGGUGCUGCAUGGUUGUCGUCAGCUCGUGCCGUGAGGUGUCGGGUUAAGUCCCAUAACGAGCGCAACCCUUAUCGUUAGUUGCCAGCGGGUAAUGCCGGGAACUCUAACGAAACUGCCGGUGUAAACCGUGAGGAAGGUGGGGAUGACGUCAAAUCAGCACGGCCCUUAUGUCCAGGGCUACACACGUGUUACAAUGGCCGGUACAGAGGGCAGCUACCUGGAGACAGGAUGCGAAUCUCCAAAACCGGUCUCAGUUCGGAUCGAAGUCUGCAACUCGACUUCGUGAAGCUGGAUUCGCUAGUAAUCGCGCAUCAGCCAUGGCGCGGUGAAUACGUUCCCGGGCCUUGUACACACCGCCCGU